rnacentral:rRNA from 1 species
UACGUAGGGCGCAAGCGUUGUCCGGAAUUAUUGGGCGUAAAGAGCUCGUAGGCGGUUUGUCGCGUCGGCCGUGAAAACCUGCAGCUUAACUGUGGGCUUGCGGUCGAUACGGGCAGACUUGAGUUCGGUAGGGGAGACUGGAAUUCCUGGUGUAGCGGUGAAAUGCGCAGAUAUCAGGAGGAACACCGGUGGCGAAGGCGGGUCUCUGGGCCGAUACUGACGCUGAGGAGCGAAAGCGUGGGGAGCGAACAGG